UUGCUCCACAGACACUGGGUAAUUACUACCCUCCAGAUCUGAGGCUUUUCAAGGAUUUAUGGGGCUGGCAUGUGGAAAAAAAGGCAGACUGGGCAGGAUGGAGCAGGGUCUCAGCAGAGCUCCAGGCUGCAAACAGAGCUUGGCUCUGCAACCAGCUCCCGUCCUUUUGCUCUGGGAGCAAAUACUGUGAUCUCAUCACACCCACCCUGCAGUCCAACCAGCCUGGAAAACUCUGUCAUGGCUUCAAGCUGGUGCAUUCAAGGGAAUGAGUAUCUUUAUCUGACUCAUGGAAGUUUAAGAAUGCAUUGGAUAAAUGCAAGUUGAAUCGAGGUGAUUGUGCAUUAGUGCCCCUGGUUGUGAAUUCCCCUUCGUGUCUGAAGAAUAUCCAAAGGUGAUGGGAACAAGCCCAGCAAAGCCCUGAUGGAUCCUGCACCAGCCAC